CCUACGGGUGGCAGCAGUGAGGAAUCUUCGUCAAUGGGCGUAAGCCUGAACCAGCCAAGUCGCGUGAGGGAUGAAGGUUCUAUGGAUCGUAAACCUCUUUUAUAAGGGAAUAAAGUGUGGGUCGUGUCCUGUUUUGUAUGUACCUUAAGAAUAAGGAACGGCUAACUCCGUGCCAGUCGCCGCGGUAAUACGGAGGAUCCGUGCUUUAUCCGGAUUUAUUGGGUUUAAAGGGAACGUAGGCGGCCUUUUAAGUCAGCUGUGAUAGUCUGUGGCUCAACCAUAGAAUUGCCGUUGAAACUGGGGGGCUUGAGUAUGUUAGAGGCAGGCGGAAUGCGUGGUGUAGCGGUGAAAUGCUUAGAUAUCACGCAGAACCCCGAUGGCGAAGGCAGCCUGCCAAGCCAUGACUGACGCUGAUGCACGAAAGCGUGGGGAUCAAACAGGAUUAGAUACCCGAGUAGUC
rnacentral:rRNA from 1 species